rnacentral:rRNA from 1 species
AGCAGCCGCGGUAAUUCCAGCUCCAAUAGCGUAUAUUAAAGUUGUUGCAGUUAAAAAGCUCGUAGUUGAAUUUCGGAAUUUAUCGGUUGGUCGGGCUUCACUGUCCGCACUGACCUGAUGGAUUCCUACCUUCUGAAUAACCAUCAUGCUAUUAAGUUAGUGCGUUGGGGAAGCAGAGCUACUACCUUGAAAAAUUAGAGUGCUUAAAGCAGGCUUGUGCUUGAAUAGAUUAGCAUGGAAUAAUAAAAUAGGACGGCAUGGUUCUAUUUUGUUGGUUUCUAGGAUCACCGUAAUGAUUAAUAGGGAUAGUUGGGGGCAUUAGUAUUCAAUUGUCAGAGGUGAAAUUCUUGGAUUUAUUGAAGACUAACUUCUGCGAAAGCAUUUGCCAAGGAUGUUUUCAUUAAUCAAGAACGAAAGUUAGGGGAUCGAAGACGAUCAGAUACCGUCGUA